rnacentral:rRNA from 1 species
GAUGAACGCUGGCGGCGUGCCUAACACAUGCAAGUCGAACGCUUCUAGAGAAGGUGCUUGCACCGACUCAAAGAGGAGUGGCGGAUGGGUGAGUAACGCGUGGGUAACCUGCCCUCGACAUAGGGAUAACUGUGAGAAAUCAUGGCAAAUACCAAAUAAGCUUACACUUACGCAUGUAAGAGUAGGAAAAGAUUUAUCGGUUGAGGAUGGACCCGCGUCUGAGUAGCUAGGUGGUAGGGUAAAGGCCUACCAAGGCAAUGAUCAGUAGCCGGCCUGAGAGGGUGAUCGGCCACAUUGGGACUGAGACACGGCACAAACUCCUACGGGAGGCAGCAGUGGGGAAUAUUGCACAAUGGGGGGAACCCUGAUGCAGCAACGCCGCGUGAAGGAAGAAGGUUUUCGGAUCGUAAACUUCUAUCGAUGGAGAAGAAAAAAAUGACGGUAUCCAAGUAAGAAGCCCCGGCUAACUACGUGCCAGCAGCCGCAGUAA